UUGUAAUGAUGAACCAUCAGUUCUGCUUCUGAUAGCAUUGAAGACAACUUUACCCACGUUUUCUGAGAA